GACGGAGCCCUGGCCCCCUGGCGCAUCUGGGGAGGGCAGGCAUUCCAUGGCCAGCACCCCAAAGGGUCCCCUCCCCGCGGACCGGGCCACUGGGACAAACGAUCAUAAAUCAGGGCCGUCCUGAUGAAACCAGGCAUGGACGGCGAGUGCGUUAAUUGUGCACCGAUACACUCAUUUUUGCGAUGCCUUUCAAACACCAGUUGUGAUGGGAAACAGCUGUUAGAUCCGGGGGAAAAAAAUAAAAGGCAAGGAAGAAAAGAGGAGAGCUCGGAAUUGGAAAUCAUAAUAAUGUCUGUCUUCGCCCUCCCCCUCCACAAAGGCUGGGAGCCCUCCCAUUCUCCCCGAGACAAUCGCGCGCCGCGGGGGGCCGGAGGAGGCGCGCACAGCAAGUUCAAGUGCAGGGGGAGAGGACGGGGCAGAAGAAAGGAUCCCUUCUCUUCAUGUGGGGGAAAUGGCAUGUUUAAAAUAGGUUAGGGAUUCAGGUUAAAAGCGGGAGAAGCCACACAGAAUAGGAGCAGAGACGCAGUAAAUGGUGCAGACGAGACAGCGCGUACGGGGAGCGGGGCUUGUCGGGGAUCUUCAUUUGAGGAGGCGAUAACCUGGAUAAUUAGAGUGUUUUGAACGUUUCAGAUGCGACCGCGGAGGAAUCGCUGGCAUUUGCCCCUGAGUCUGGCCGACUUCUGUGCCGGCCCCGGGGCUGGUCGGGGUGGGUCUGGCAGCGUCGGGGAGGACGGGCCCCCCCUUCCUCUUGUUCCCUGUCCUUGUCCUCCUUCCCCAGGACCAGGCCGUAUGGUCCGCACCUCACGAGAGGGGAGAGCUCAGAGCCAGCCAGAGAAGUCCUCCUCUCCCGGCGUUUCCUGGACGCCGGCUUGUUCUCCAGAAAUGUUUAUUUACAUCAUCUAACAAGACGGUUUUUCAAUCUAUAAUGCCUGUGUCAUUACGUAAUGGGUCUCGCAUGGUGUUGCCCAUCGUGGAGAAACAGACAGUCCUCUGCCAACCCGUGCCUGCACACAGGCGGCUUCCCAGGCUCCCGGGGCAGGGGGGGGGGGUGCUGUGCCCGAGACCCCCACCUCCACAGAGCCUCUUAGGUUGUCUCUGCUUCUCGGGGUCCUUGAACUCCGUGGGCCUCAGGAUGGCUGGAGACCCUUUGUUCAGCCUGGGGCAAGUAGUUUUAAGAGUUCCCCUGCCCCCUUUUUUAUUCCAGCAGGAUGCCUGCGACUUGAUCCCUUCCUUUCAGAUCUAACACGAGGAACACCAACCAGAGUGUUAAGGGUGUACAGCCCCUACGGAAUGCCCAGAAUUGCAGAAACAGGGCUGGUUUUCUGUCCUCCUGACCAGGGAUGCGCCCCGAUGGUGACCCGUGAAGACAUCGUUCCCCAUCAGUUUCCCUGGCUCUCAAAUUGCCCCUUCGUGCCUGAAAUACAACGACUCAUAAAAUUGAGAAAAAAUCGUGGGAUCUGAGCAGAACUGGUGGGAAGGAGGUGGGCGCUCCGACUUCUACAAGCUGAGGUCAAAGUUGAGGGCGUGCUUCGGAUGGAUGUCCUCAUGGUCAGAAACUGGGAUGGGCCCCAGGGUAGCCCAGAAGGUACUCUGCUGAGGGGCGUCGGCAUGAACUUCGCAUUAUGCACAUUGCUGCCCCUGUCAUUAGCGGGAUGUUAGAAACAUGACUUAGGGGCCGUGCAGACGCAUUUGCGACACCCUCAAGGGGGCACAGGCUGUGGAGAGCACCUUGGGCACAGAACCCCCUCCCCGGGUGGGUCAUGGGGAACCGCCUUCAGCAUCCCCCCUGCCCCGUGCUUCCUCUGGGUCUGUGACUCUUUUAUUCUGCUGUCGGGGAAAGAACCCACGUGGUCACUUUGCCAAACACUCAGAUGCUUGUUGGUGACCGAGGGUUCGAUUUCCUUACAUGCGGGCUAGACCACAACUCGAGUAAACAUCAGGAAAGAAGGUGGGGGCCUUAAGAAUAUUAAUUCUUAUGGAGUUAUUUCAAGUACCGGACUUCCAGUUUCCACCCCCUUCUUUCGAAGCGAAACAGCAGUGGGGUUCUGUGUUGUGUUGUAAACAGGCGAGCAAGUGUCCCUCUUGAACCUGGACGCCGGUCGGGAGCGGCUUCUGCGGGCCCACGUUUAUGCUUGUGAUGGGUGCCGGGCAGGCAGCUGCACUGAGAAUUUCUGCUCCGGCCCCUCUGUGACCUCAACCUGCCCGGCCAGCCGGCCACCUCAGCUGGAGCGGUGGGGGUUGGUUUGCUCUUACAGGGAUCCCCUUGGGAAGAAGCAGCAGCCUCAGCACGAGAGGUUUCCACACUCAGGGGGUGGGUGUGUGCGUGCAAAUAUUUUUUUUUUUCAACAGGCGGCCGCUUGGCAGACCGGACCACGAAAAUAGCCCUGUUAGCAAGCACUGUGCCUGCAGAUAGAACUUCCUAUUCAAAUCAGGGCAAGAGGCAGAGGGAUCAUGAGGCGAAAUGAGCCGUGUGUGUGUGUGUGUGUGUGUGUGUGUGUGUGUGUGUGUGUGUUUCCUGAAUAAAUGAAUCAGAGAUGCGGCGGGGCUGGCCCUCCUCUGUCCCGGGUCUCUGGAUCAUUUCAGAGGGUUAAUGCAGCAGAGGCGGAGGGGAGGCCGGAGAGGGUUCCCAGCUGAUCUGCCGGGCGCUGCGUGCGUUAACCCCCUCCUGCCCGAGCCGCCAGCCGUGGCCGGACGCUGGUGGGCACCAGGAAGGGGUGGGAUUCCCUCACGAGACGCAUAAUCGUAUACAUUCUGCUCCGCGGUGGCCGCCAAGCUGUAUCACUGCCCGUGUGACACGGCCAUCUUCUCCCGGGAGCCGCUGGAGACCUCAGGGUGCGGAGCCAGCUCUCUGGGAUGAUCGCAGAUGAAUUCUCCGCAGAGGGAGGCAGAUGACCCGUGGAGAUCCGUCACGCGUGGCUCUUUGAAGUUUUCUCCUGCUUUCUCGCACGGCGCCGGGAAGCCAAGUUUUGCCACGUCCUCUUGCGCGCACACGCGAUGUUCUGCGGUGGUGGUCAGAUGCUUGCGACGUGGAAAGAGAUGGACUUUUCCCGACAGAGUCCCACUGGAGAUUCCCUAGGAAUUUGCACUUCUUACCUGUCUGUCCGUUUAUCUGACUGGAUAUAAACUAAAAAGCCCACUCCUUGAAGCUCCUUUCUUGCUGUGCCUUCCAUCAGGCACAUUAACCCCUAACUAACAGUUGCCACAAUUAUAGAGUGAAACAACACAGUGUACAAAGGUGUGUGUUUACUACUUCCCAGGGCAAAGACGAAAGUUUUAUGGUGCUAAUUUCACUUUCCCUAUUCUUUUUUUUUUUUUCUUCUCUAACUUGAAGGAUCACUGGCCUCUCUAGUAGCUAGGUUUUGCUGACCGUAUGUUUUGAAACUCUCAUUCCAAAAGCACUUUCUCCCUAGCUUCACAAAUGUACCAACCAUUUGCUGCAAGCCAGAAGGCUGCACACCUGAUGACACCGAGCCCCCAUCUCCUGCGGGUCACAGCAGCCUGUGUGUUUGGGCAGAGCCUGAUUUCUAGAAUAGAUUCCAUCUCUGGUGAUAGGGAAGCCACGCAGAAUUGCUAAGUUUGUGCGAUAUUAGGAGGCAGAAUAACGAACAGCUUCAUCGUUGUCUCAAACCUGCCGGUCUAUGUGCGUGUGUGAGGACGGCCUCACUCAGACCCAUCACCAGCCCCGGACGACACCCGAGAGCCCGGACCCUAUGCGGCCUCAAAGUAUCUCAUGUUAUUUUUAUCAAAUGUGCAGAUAACUAAGAGGCUACUCUGGCAAAAUAUCCCAGUGUCCAUUUGUGUUUCAAAUGUGAGAAGGGCUCAGGCAGGUGGAGAAACACGAAAUAAGCAGGUGGGACAAUUCAAGAAAGAUCUCAUUUGAUUUCCCCCAAAGCUCAAACUAGAGAAACCGCUCUGCAUCUGUGCCAACCUCCCGGAAGCUGGUAAAUCCACACAGUCCCUGAGACAUCUUUCCACGCAGAGACAAAUCUGCUCCAUCCAUCCAUCCAUCCUUCCUUUCUUUCUUUCUUUCUUUCUUUCUUUCUUUCUUUCUUUCUUUCUGGAAUUUUUAAAGCAAGUGGCCAUUUUCUUAUCCACGUUUCAAAUGUCCAACCUCUUCAUAAAUAAAAGGAAAUAGAAUUCUGAAGGUAGAGAGGGAAACUGCAAUGGAAGUGUCCAAUUUCAUGCGGUGGCUUCUUGGGCAGGAACAAGGGUAAUUUGACCACGGCUUCAAUUUCUGAGGCAUUUUUAGCACAUGCAUUUGGUACACAUACAUGGCAGCUAGACUGACAAGACAGACCCCUGAUUGCUCCUAAGGGUCAAUAAAACACACACCAUGAAGGAUUUACACAACAGACAGUAAUGGCUUCUUUGGAACUGUUAUGGUCUAUUGGGUCAAUAAUAAUCCACUUUUUAAAGAGUGCCAAAAUAUGAAUUUACACAGCAGACUGUAAUGGCUCCUGAUCUAUCAGGUAAAUUAUAUGAAUUCUCGGAAUUUAUAUACGUGCCAUAGCGCACGGAUACCUAUCACAAUGUGCUGUUGUGUGAAGCAUCCCAUGUAGACUGCUGCACAGGUUCUUUCCCAAUUGCUGAUAAAAAUGAUGUAUUGCCACUCAGGAAAUGGGAAUAUUUGUUGACGUUCGGAAGUUUAAUGCCACAAUUUAUAUUUCACAUUUAAUUCACUGUAUUUUGAUAAAGAUUCUAUAUUACUUACAUCAACAUAAACUCUGGUUCCCCCCAAAUGGAGUUAUUUGCAAUUCAAACUAUGUUUAAAAUACCCUGAUCACACGAUUUCGGGGUGGGCUGCCACAUAAUAUUUAAUUUGCGACACGUUUACCGGCGAGGGUCUAUUCUCCGUAUUCGCAGUUUCUAUUUUCUUCCGUGGCGUGAAAAUAGACAUUCUCAAGUACACCGUGCUGCAGCUUCACUUAGCAUAGAUGCUCGGAUCUUUCCAGCAGGUGGAGGCAGACCGCAAGAAGCCCUACAAGAAAGAGCCCAAAAUAUUUUUCCCCUCAGAGAGCCCUGACAUUUAGGGGAAAACAAAAUAUCUGCAAAAGAGGGAAAUUAAAUGAACGGUGUCCAACAGGAAUGGUGCUGUGACAUAGUUUCACCUAAUAAAGAAUCUGGAGCAAAGAUAGCUCAGAGCCCCUCCUUCCUAUAAACAUUCUUCUCUCCUGGCUUUUGUUCUGUUCCCGUUGGAAAUUUUUCCAGAAGAAAAGCCUAGUGAGUUAUUUAAUAAAUAAAAUCCUUUAAGGCAACCACGUUCAAAGAUAUCGCCUCAGAUUCCCUUCAAAUACACACAGCAAGAAGUGUGCCACCGGCAGCUGGGGGGACACGCGUGUAGAUGACAGACUGGUGACACGCACGCUUGUGCACCCGCGCUCAUGCACACGGGCUCACGAUGAGGAACUCCAGGCUCACUCUUACCUUGCUUCGCUCACUGCCGGUGUGGAUGUUCUAUUCUUUUGGUUAAAACAGUGAUCUCUCUGGCUCUUUUGCGUCUGUGUGUAUGUUCCUGCCUGUGCAUUAAAGCAGUAAAAAAGAAUUUAAAGCUCAGACUAGAAAUUCCCUGCCUGUCGACUGGGCUUUUCUUGAGGUAGAGGGAUUUCUUUCAAAGACCGCUUAACACGUGUCAUCCGUUAUGGACAAACGACAUGGCCGAAAAAUGUAUGUGCACUUGAUUAGAAUGGUCGACCUGGAAGGACCUGGAUGUUUCUGGGUCCAUAGGAAGAUAACAGAACACAGCAAGUUAUAGGUCUCACCUUCCUUGGCACAGAACUGAGAGCAGGUGACAACAUAGAGAUGCCUUGGUCUCCACCCCCCACUCUUUCCCGUGUCUGUUUCCUGCAAAUAUCUACCACCUGCAAUAUUGACUAGUUUAUCAGGAAGCAGGCAUCUCUAUCAGUCUAUCUUGAAUCGUCAUCCAACAGAAGAUUAAAAGCUGCCUGCCUCCUUGUUGUGAUUUUCGGUGUUCGUGUCACAAAGUUUUCAAUCAAAUUUCAGCCGUGUGCAUUUCGCUUACAGAACCCCGAGCACUUAUCUUCCCAAAGCAGGGGAUUUAGACCAUGUUUACCUUGCAUAGUUUCAAGAUAUCUCCCUGCAAACCUGUCCACAUUUAGGGUGUCAGAUGCUUCCCAAAUCUGGCGUUCUCUCUCUCUCUCUCUCUCUCUCUCUCUCUCUCUCUCUCUUUCUCACCCUCUCUCAUCCCUUCACAACGAGGCUUUUGGCUGCACAAUGACCAAUAAAAAGUAUGAAUAACAGACAAGUGCCAAUAUUCCAAGGAGUUAUUCUUGUGCAGCGACCUUGUGUUGUGAGUUUUCAAGACGAACCGCAACUGUGGAAGGCAUUGUUCUAAAUGGCCUGCUCACCAACAGCCUUCAGGAGGCCCCGGUCACCAUGGUUUUCCGCUCAUGCACCGAGUGGAACAGAAGGGGAAACGUCAGCUGUGAUCUUCUGGCCGCGCCAUCGCCCGUGAGGGAGCCGUGGUCUGGGAGGGAUCCUAAGACAUAAACGCUGGAACUGAGCACAAACAAAUCGACACCAAACCAAUAUCUAUCUGCCAGUGAACCUACUUGAUGCUUUGAGUUCCCAAUAAAUAGACUGGGAGGAUGGAUAAGCAGCAUCCAGAGACGCCUGCAGGGAAGUUUGUACACAGGGAAGCCAGUGUGUGCUGGGGAGACGUGAUUCCUGCUGUGCUCGGGCACAAUCGCGCGAUGGAGACCGUCUACACUCAGCCCGCCCCUACUGGUGUUUUUCAUUAAAUACUGACUAGUGAAACCUAGCCUGUGCAUGGGGUACAGGGUGGGUUUGCGUGUGGCUGGGGGCGUGUGCAGAGGAACCGAGAUCCCUUAACGAAACACCUUGUUCGAGAACGCACUGGGAACGUCCGCCGUGGGAUAUGCUACUUUUCAGCUCCCGACGUUGUCUUUCUGCACACGUGUGAUUCUCAUUCAAUGUUUUAUAGGCACGUGUGCAGGGGCACUCACUGCUGAAAAGCCAAAUGGCAUCCUCUGCCAACCCUUUGGAAUUUUAAAAACCUAAACGAUGGCUCACACAUGUGACAGUGGAUCCCAAGUAGAGGCCAAAGGCCUAACGCCAUUGCUCUGUGGGUGACUUGGAAACCAGGCCAAGGUUUUAUGUGUUGCCUGUGGCCUGCUGUUAGCCUACCACUGCUCUUACCCCUUGGAAAUUGGCUCUGUUAUCUCACCGGGGCUGGGGGCACGCCAAAGCGCUCACAACUCACUCAAAGCGCGUGGAUCAUGGGUUGGAGAUGAGGCUGAAACUUUUGCUCUCUCGUUGGUUCCUUCUGGUAAAACCAAACCUUAGGGUUCCAGCGGGAGGGAAACACACUCAAAAAGAGGCUUCGCUGACGAGUGGGGCCAUCAAUGCAGGGUUAUUAUGCUUUGCUGAGUACACGUUAGGGACCCCAUUUUUUUCUUCUACUAGUACAGGUAGAGCUUGAGAUUGGGAGAGCCCAUCCAUGCCUGGACCUUGAGUGUACUGGGCCUGAGCUAGGACUGUUUUUGGCAACGUGAUACAUAACGUCACCAGGGCAAGUGUGACAUCAGCUAAAGAUCAACCUUCCUGUCAUGUUUUUUUUUUUUUUUUAAUUUUUUAAUGUUCAUUCAUU